rnacentral:rRNA from 1 species
GUGCCAGCCGCCGCGGUAAUACGUAGGGGGCAAGCGUUGUCCGGAAUCAUUGGGCGUAAAGCGCGCGUAGGCGGCCCGGUAAGUCCGCUGUAAAAGUCAGGGGCUCAACCCUUGAACGCCGGUGGAUACUGCCGGGCUAGAGUCCGGAAGAGGCGAGUGGAAUUCCUGGUGUAGCGGUGGAAUGCGCAGAUAUCAGGAGGAACACCAAUAGCGAAGGCAGCUCGCUGGGACGGUACUGACGCUGAGGCGCGAAAGCGUGGGGAGCGAACAGGAUUAGAUACCCUCGUAGUCC